rnacentral:piRNA from 1 species
GAUACAGAUGGUAAUAGACUCCGGA